rnacentral:rRNA from 1 species
GACGAACCGUGCGAACGUUGUUCGGAAUCACUGGGCUUAAAGGGCGCGUAGGCGGGCGAUCAAGUCCGGGGUGAAAUCUUUCGGCUCAACCGGAAAACUGCCUUGGAUACUGAUCGUCUUGAGGGAGGUAGGGGCAGGUGGAACUUCCGGUGGAGCGGUGAAAUGCGUUGAUAUCGGAAGGAACGCCGGUGGCGAAAGCGGCCUGCUGGAUCUCUUCUGACGCUGAUGCGCGAAAGCCAGGGGAGCAAACGGG